rnacentral:piRNA from 1 species
AGAUAGGAUUACCAUCAUCGAUCACUUUGC